GAUGAACGCUGGCGGCGUGCCUAAUACAUGCAAGUCGAGCGAACGGACGAGAAGCUUGCUUUUCUGAUGUUAGCGGCGGACGGGUGAGUAACACGUGGAUAACCUACCUAUAAGACUGGGAUAACUUCGGGAAACCGGAGCUAAUACCGGAUAAUAUUUUGAACCGCAUGGUUCAAAAGUGAAAGACGGUCUUGCUGUCACUUAUAGAUGGAUCCGCGCUGCAUUAGCUAGUUGGUAAGGUAACGGCUUACCAAGGCAACGAUGCAUAGCCGACCUGAGAGGGGGAUCGCCCACACGGGAACGGAGACACGGCCCAGACCCCUCCGGGAGGCACCGGAGGGGAAUCUCCCGCAAUGGGCGAAAGCCUGACGGGGCAGCGCGGGGGGGUUGAUGAGGGUCUCCGGUUCUUAAACCUCUUUUAUUGGGAAAAAAAAUAUGUUAAAUUAACUGUGCACUUCUUGACGGUACCUAAAAAAAAACCCCCGGCUAACUCCGUC
rnacentral:rRNA from 1 species